ACCUAUCACAAAUUAAAAGCAUUCCGAAACAUGAUGUUCGCCCCAAAACGUGUUUGUAGUGUAUGUAUCACCGAACGAUCCCGUUAGGGUUCUACAACAUUUGCACAACGGCUUCGUCCGCUGAAUGCGACGUAAGAGUGGGUUAACCCCAUCAUGAUCUGAAUAUACGAAAAGUAAUCCGGAUCCCGUUUACUGUUGUUUGGAAAAUGUACGAAAUCAUGGAGCGACACCAUACGAUCAUAUAAUUAAUAUUACAUCUAGAGAAUGCGAGGAAUCGGAGUUGGUUCAAAUAAUAAUACUACUUAUUGGAAUAAAGUAUGCAAACCUAAGAAACAUACAGGAAGAAUAAUUUAAAACUCAACGGAAGAUCUAGAGGUAUCUUAUUAAAGAGGAACAGCAUCAGAGGUUUUCGGGAAGAAUAGAUUUGUUACACUAAAAAUUCCAGAAAAAAAUCCAAACUCAUUACAGAAAUUGUUUAAAGGGACCUACUACAUUUUUCUAUGGAAGAGUAAAGGCAAACGAAACAAGUUAAUGAAUCGAAUAACUUUAAAAUAAAUAACACAGAUCUACUAAUUUGUAUUUUGUUGCUGUUUUCAAAAUUAUUUGUAAUUUUUUGCCCGAUUCUCAAAAAUUAUUAUCUGUGAAUAGUUUCCACUUUUUUCAGCAUAAAAAAUAUUCUCGCAGGUUAUCACAUUGCACCAAAAAACAUUCUACAUUAUAUUUUCAAAUUUAUUUUGUCCAGGUUUUUAAAAACACAUACAGGCUUUGUUAGUGAACCUAAAGGAACAGAAAACUACUACAUUUCAGAUUGUGAUCUAAUAAGGGAGAGAGGAAAUAGAAAACAGUUGCCCUAGAUGAAAUGGAGAGAUUGGCAGAAAACAAGAAGGAAUGGAAAUAUUGAACAGAAUCCUCUUCCAAUAACUGAAAAUGUAGAAGGAAAAUGAAGAUUCUUUGUAUACUUUUUUUACAAAAUCUCUAUUAUCAGAAAUUAUCUAUGAAUAGUUUUCAAGUUUUCAAAACAUUCUACAUUAUUUUCUUGUUAAUUUUGUAUAGUAUUGUAAAAAAUGACUUUGGGACAGAGAACAUAUAAAUUUGAUGAGGUCAGAUUCAAAUAUGUAAGGGAAAUAGGGGAUAAAUAAUAACCCUAGAUGAAAUAAAGAGAUGGGCAGGGGACAGGAAGGAAUGGAAACAUUCAACCAAAGCAGUCUUUCGACAAACAAUUAAACCGCUAAAAAAUUAUAUUGAACAUAUUUUACAAUUUAGCUAUAAUGUCAUAAUUGCCAAACAGUUUUCAGAAUUAUAAAAUACAAAAUCUAUUAAUUUCUAUAAAAAAAUCACCAUAAUAGGAAUCAAUUUUGGUAUCCUACAAGCCCUUACUAAAUCACAAAUUUGAUUCUUUACUAACUUUCAACCUAUGUGAUUAAAAUGUAUGCUAACGCAGACAAAAUAAAUCCAUCACACAUCUUUUGAAAUAAUAAAAUUACUACUAAGAUAAUGGCAGUUAAUCUAAAUCCUUUUCAUUGGUUUUUGCAAACAUAAGCUGAAGAGUGUAAAUAAAAAAGGUACUAAGUGUCAUUUUAAAAACAAUAUUUUUGUAAAUGCUACAACUGAAAUAUAAAGUUGUGGUGGGGUUGUGUUGAUUUUCCUUAGAAAAGUACUAACAGAAAGCCGAUCAUUAACUGCAGUUGUUCUCUGUUGUACAGUGAGAUUUGAAAGAAACUUGAAAGUUGUUUAGAAACAACUCAGAUGUUUAACUAAAUAAGAAGCAAUUUUCAAAGGACUAGUAGAUGAGCCUGCUGGAUAUGAAAUCAACUGAUGUUAACGCCUAGGAAGCAGAUGGCUAGUUCCACGAUUAUUUCAGAUCUUUUAUUUUUUGAAACUUAGUCCUUUUUUAUUUCGGCUCUUCAUCUUCAUCAUCUGAUAAUUUUUCAUAAAGUUAAUAACCUGAAAACCCCAAUUAUAUCUAAUAUUAGUUAUAAACCAUAAUCAGUUCUACAUAGCCAAUAGGCAAGGCAAGUAUUCUAAAUUUAUAAACUUUUUUUUUUCUGAAAAAUAUGUUUUAAUUCCAGCAUAUACUCAAAUAGAAAAUAAUAUUAAUAUAUUAAAAAACUAUUGAACCAGCAGUUGAUAAAAUAUACAGAGCAUCUCAACUAAACUAUAAAUAUGUUUUUCGUGAUGAGUCGUCUCAAAUUUUAGGUCUCUUUUGAUAGGAAAAUAAUAUGUAACAAUUGACGUUUCCACUUAUUUCAGUCUUUAUCAAAACGAAAAACAUAUAAAAAGCUUCAAGAAGUAAAAAGUUAAAAAAAACUAUAAAUAUGUACAGAAAAAAUUUAACUAAGCUGUUAAAUCUAUCAUCAUAUGGAAGCUAUCAAAUGAAAUUUAUGAAUUUGACAACAAAUCAACAGAUCAACUGUUUAUUCUGUGCCAAAUUGAUCCAAUGAUUCUAAAGAUUUUUUUGGUACAAUAAUUUUAAUGAGGUUACUAGUACCAACAAAAAAAAAUAGUGUUAAGAAUUAACUUUGUUGUAUAAUGUAAUCUAUAUAAUAGAAAAUCGAAGUAAAAUAAAAAUGAAACCAUUUAGUUUUAUAUUUAUAUCAAAAUUUUAGUCAGAGUUUACUUUGCAGUGAUAAUCAUCUCAUACUGAACGAUACUCCGUAUAUUCUCAAUCGCACUCUACUACACAUGUUUUAAUAUCACUUAUUGUUAUUCUGGAUUACAAAUUAAAUUGAUUUAUAAAUUGCAA